UUUAAUAAAAUAAUCGAUAACUAUUGGAUGGGGCAGUUUAGUAGUUGGACCACUGCUCCAAAAGAAGUAAAGGAAUUGUGGUGGAAUGAGUUCAAGCGGAAGUUCAGGUGGGAUGAAGCGGAAGAGAAAGAAGUUAAAAGAAUUUUUAAGAAGUAAGCCGGUGAUCACAUGCGAAAUGUGAUGAAUAGAGCAAAGAGAAGACAAGAAAAGCCGGAUUUUAUUACAGCCGACAAUUGGGCGGAAAUCAAAAGAACUUGGGACACCGAAAAGCAUAAGCAAAUAAGUGAAAUUAAUAAGAAGAAUCGAGCUUCUAGUUCUAGUGAAGGGUCUGCCACAUAUGCUGGGGGUUCUAUUAAUAUCGGGGAGCAUAGAAAAAGAAUGGCCGAUGAAUUGGGGACGGAACCAACAUUUAUGGCUACAUUUGAACGCACCUUUCAGAAAAAAAGAUAAGACAUGGAUCGGCAAUCGAGCAAAAGUUAUUAAGGACAAAUAUGAUGAACUUGUAAUGAGCACGGCUGCUGCUAGUGGUGAUGGUGAUGGUGAUAGUG